UACGUAGGGGGCAAGCGUUAUCCGGAUUCACUGGGUGUAAAGGGAGCGUAGACGGAGAUGCAAGCCAGAUGUGAAAACCCGCGGCUUAACUGCGGGCCUGCAUUUGGAACUGUAUGUCUGGAGUACCGGGUGGGCAGGCGGAAUUCCUGGUGUAGCGGUGAAAUGCGUAGAUAUCAGGAGGAACACCGGUGGCGAAGGCGGCCUGCUGGACGGAUACUGACGUUGAGGCUCGAAAGCGUGGGGAG
rnacentral:rRNA from 1 species